rnacentral:rRNA from 1 species
CACUCCUACGGGAGGCAGCAGUGGGGAAUAUUGCACAAUGGGCGCAAGCCUGAUGCAGCCAUGCCGCGUGUAUGAAGAAGGCCUUCGGGUUGUAAAGUACUUUCAGCGGGGAGGAAGGCGAUAAGGUUAAUAACCUUGUCGAUUGACGUUACCCGCAGAAGAAGCACCGGCUAACUCCGUGCCAGCAGCCGCGGUAAUACGGAGGGUGCAAGCGUUAAUCGGAAUUACUGGGCGUAAAGCGCACGCAGGCGGUCUGUCAAGUCGGAUGUGAAAUCCCCGGGCUCAACCUGGGAACUGCAUUCGGAACUGGCAGGCUAGAGUCUUGUAGAGGGGGGUAGAAUUCCAGGUGUAGCGGUGAAAUGCGUAGAGAUCUGGAGGAAUACCGGUGGCGAAGGCGGCCCCCUGGACAAAGACUGACGCUCAGGUGCGAAAGCGUGGGGAGCAAACAGGAUUAGAUACCCGGGUAGUCCCAU